GUUGUUGGAAAGGCCAGGAGGAUUGGGACACAAACUUCUCAAUUAACUGCAUCUGUAUAGGUUCUUACUUCUGCCACCUAGACCCACAAACAAGUGACAAGAUGAUCUACAGGAUGCUGGUGCUCAUCAGCCUGACCUGCUGUGUCUGUGAGAGGGUUCGGCAGGAAUCGUCGUCUGAGGCGGUGAGGCCAAGCACUGAGAGUUUGGGAUGGAAAGAUGUCGCCAGUAAACUGGCUCUGAUAUCAGGAGCUGCUGCUGUGCUGAUUGCUCUCGUACUCAACAUUCAGAAUCUUGCCCUUCAUGUGAUAAGAAGACGUGACUGAACUCUAUUCCUCAUCAGAGGGAUCUGAAACUCAGUCUUCUGUCCUUUUUUAAUCUCAUUUAAA